rnacentral:rRNA from 1 species
AUUGAACGCUGGCGGCAGGCCUAACACAUGCAAGUCGAACGGUAACAGGAAGAAGCUUGCUUCUUUGCUGACGAGUGGCGGACGGGUGAGUAAUGUCUGGGCAACUGCCUGAUGGAGGGGGAUAACUACUGGAAACGGUAGCUAAUACCGCAUAACGUCGCAAGACCAAAGAGGGGGACCUUCGGGCCUCUUGCCAUCGGAUGUGCCCAGAUGGGAUUAGCUAGUAGGUGGGGUAACGGCUCACCUAGGCGACGAUCUCUAGCUGGUCUGAGAGGAUGACCAGCCACACUGGAACUGAGACACGGUCCAGACUCCUACGGGAGGCAGCAGUGGGGAAUAUUGCACAAUGGGCGCAAGCCUGAUGCAGCCAUGCCGCGUGUAUGAAGAAGGCCUUCGGGUUGUAAAGUACUUUCAGCGGGGAGGAAGGGAGUAAAGUUGAUACCUUUGCUCAUUGACGUUACCCGCAGAAGAAGCACCGGCUAACUCCGUG